CCUACGGGAGGCAGCAGUGGGGAAUCUUGCGCAAUGGGCGAAAGCCUGACGCAGCCAUGCCGCGUGAAUGAUGAAGGUCUUAGGAUUGUAAAAUUCUUUCACCGGGGACGAUAAUGACGGUACCCGGAGAAGAAGCCCCGGCUAACUUCGUGCCAGCAGCCGCGGUAAUACGAAGGGGGCUAGCGUUGCUCGGAAUUACUGGGCGUAAAGGGAGCGUAGGCGGAUAGUUUAGUCAGAGGUGAAAGCCCAGGGCUCAACCUUGGAAUUGCCUUUGAUACUGGCUAUCUUGAGUAUGGGAGAGGUUAGCGGAACUCCGAGUGUAGAGGUGAAAUUCGUAGAUAUUCGGAAGAACACCAGUGGCGAAGGCGGCUAACUGGCCCAUUACUGACGCUGAGGCUCGAAAGCGUGGGGAGCAAACAGGAUUAGAUACCCUGGUAGUCCACGCCGUAAACGAUGAGUGCUAGUUGUCGGCAUGCAUGCAUGUCGGUUGGUACGACGAGCGUAACGACAUUAAGUACACCUCCGCCGUCGGGGAGGUACGGGUCGGCGAAGAAGUUAAAACUUAACAAAUAGAAGUUAGUACGGCGUGAGACGUAGCCGAACGGACGACCGACGAGGGAGGUAGG
rnacentral:rRNA from 1 species